GAUGAACGCUGGCGGCGUGCCUAAUACAUGCAAGUCGAGCGAACGGACGAGAAGCUUGCUUCUCUGAUGUUAGCGGCGGACGGGUGAGUAACACGUGUAUAACCUACCUAUAAGACUGGGAUAACUUCGGGAAACCGGAUCUAAUACCGUAUAAUAUUUUGAACCGCAUGGUUCAAAAGUGAAAGACGGUCUUGCUGUCACUUAUAGAUGGAUCCGCGCUGCAUUAGCUAGUUGGUAAGGUAACGGCUUACCAAGGCAACGAUGCAUAGCCGACCUGAGAGGGUGAUCGGCCACAAUGGAACUGAGACACGGUCCAGACUCCUACGGGAGGCAGCAGUAGGGAAUCUUCCGCAAGGGGCGAAAGCCUGACGGAGCAACGCAGCGUGAGUGAUGAAGGUCUUCGGAUCGUAAAACUCUGUUAUUAGGGAAGAACAUAUGUGUAAGUAACUGUGCACAUCUUGACGGUACCUAAUCAGAAAGCCACGGCUAAAUACG
rnacentral:rRNA from 1 species